UGCAAGUCGAACGCUUCUUUCCUCCCGAGUGCUUGCACUCAAUUGGAAAAGGAGUGGCGGACGGGUGAGUAACACGUGGGUAACCUACCCAUCAGAGGGGGAUAACACUUGGAAACAGGUGCUAAUACCGCAUAACAGUUUAUGCCGCAUGGCAUAAGAGUGAAAGGCGCUUUCGGGUGUCGCUGAUGGAUGGACCCGCGGUGCAUUAGCUAGUUGGUGAGGUAACGGCUCACCAAGGCCACGAUGCAUAGCCGACCUGAGAGGGUGAUCGGCCACACUGGGACUGAGACACGGCCCAGACUCCUACGGGAGGCAGCAGUAGGGAAUCUUCGGCAAUGGACGAAAGUCUGACCGAGCAACGCCGCGUGAGUGAAGAAGGUUUUCGGAUCGUAAAACUCUGUUGUUAGAGAAGAACAAGGACGUUAGUAACUGAACGUCCCCUGACGGUAUCUAACCAGAAAGCCACGGCUAACUACGUGCCAGCAGCCGCGGUAAUACGUAGGUGGCAAGCGUUGUCCGGAUUUAUUGGGCGUAAAGCGAGCGCAGGCGGUUUCUUAAGUCUGAUGUGAAAGCCCCCGGCUCACCGGGGAGGGUCAUUGGAAACUGGGAGACUUGAGUGCAGAAGAGGAGAGUGGAAUUCCAUGUGUAGCGGUGAAAUGCGUAGAUAUAUGGAGGAACACCAGUGGCGAAGGCGGCU
rnacentral:rRNA from 1 species